rnacentral:lncRNA from 1 species
GGGAGGAUGAGGCAGGAGAAUGGCGUGGACCCGGGAGGUGGAGCUUGCAGUGAGCCGAGAUCGAGCCACUGCACUCCAGCACUCUAGCCUGGGUGACACAGCGAGACUCCAUCUCAAAAAAAAAGAACUCAGAAGUCAUAAAGAAGAAGGUUGACUUGCCUGACCUCAUGAACCUGUUGGAAACAGAAGACAAAUGGUACCCUAGGAGAAACCAUUGGCAACAUGUAAGACAGAAAGAUUGUGUCCACAAUAUAUAAAAAACUUCUACAAAUCAAUAAGGAAAAGGCAAACCACCCAGAAGAUAGAUGAGCAAGGAAUAUAGACAGGCACUUCGUAAAGGGAAACAUACAAGCAGCAGCUGGAAGCCUCUAGAAAGAGCAGCAGAAGGACCCAGUAAGCUUGAGAGUGAUCACCUGGAGUGACCUCCAGGGGACCUCCCACCUCACGAGUGAUCAUAGCAUGACAAAUUAAAGCAGGAGAUAGCAUUUUGUUGUGAUCUGGGUGAAAAAUGCAAACGACGUGUAAUUCUUUGUCCACAGUGUAGAGAAGGGGCAGGCAUUCACUGUUGGUAGUAAUGUUGGCAUGUUUUUGGAGGGUAGUGAGGCAGUAUUGAUUAAAAUGGUAAAUGCCUAUGCCAUUUGACCAAACAAUUCCACUUUUAGGAAUCUAUUCUACAGAGUUAUUUCCAUGAGUAUAUAAGGCUGUAGCUACAAGGAUACACAUGGCACUGUUGUUUGUAACAGCAACAAAUGGGGAACAGCACAAAUGUCCCAUGGGCAUGGGGUUGGCUGGAUACAUCCCAGUAAAUAUGUCCACACAACACAGAACAAUUCUGCUAUUAAACGUGGUAGAGUAGCCCUCUAUUUACUGACAUGGGAAGGUAGUCAUGACUCACUGCUGAGUGAAAAAGGCAUAUAAGAAAACAUCAGGCUGGGUGCGGUGGCUCACGUCUGUAAUCCCAGCACUUUGGGAGGCCGAGGCGGGCAGAUCACAAAGUCAGGAGAUCGAGACCAUCCUGGCUGACACGGUGAAACCCCGUCUCUACUAAAAAUACAAAAAAAAAUUAGCUGGGCAUGGUGGCGGGCGCCUGUAGUCUCAGCUACUUGGGAGGCUGAGGCAGGAGAAUGACAUGAACCUGGGAGGCAGAGCUUGCAGUGAGCCGAGAUCGCACCACUGCACUCCAGCCUGGGUGACAGAGCAAGACUCUGUCUCAAAAAAAAAAAAAGAAAAGAAAACAUCAGGUACGAUCAGUGGUGUUUUAUUAAACUAAAUUUUUAAAUUGUGCUUACAGACAUAAAAUUGUGGAAGAGAGAUCAUCAGAUUAUUUGCAGGAAGACAUCUUAGUGGAAGUUGGACAGUUGGAGAGAGCUGCUUUGGUUGUGUGCCUAUGUGUGAGUGAGUUGGGGAGAAUUACUUUGGUGUGUGGGCCUGUGUGUGAGUGAGUUGUGCAGAGUCGCUUUGGUGUGUGGGCCUGUGUGUGAGUGAGUUGGGAAGAAUUGCUUUGUGUGUCUGUGAGUGAGUGUGUCUGUGUGUGUGUUGUGUUGCUUUUCAGAGUUAUUCAACUCUUAUAAAAAUGUCUUUAUUUUCUAAGAAAGAAAUAGUUGUUAUCACUUUGAAAAUAUGAUCCAUGAUUGUGUUUUAAAACUAUAUAUAUGGCCAUGUUGUAACAUUUUUUAAAAAGACCAUCUGCAGAGCAAGGUGCUUCAGUGAUUAUCUCAGCACGAGGAAAUCACUUCAUUUUUUGUGUGCUUAACUGUACAUUCUCAAUUUUUGCCAUGGAAAUGCAUUAUGUUUGUAAUCAUAAAAGAACACACUUACUGGGUGAAGAGGAAGGACCCUGACACAUGUACUAAGAAGACAGCAUGGGCCCACGCAUCUGACCACGUGACUGGUGUCACGUGCUUGACCAGCUGUUUAUCAGCUUCGCCUCUCCACUUGCAGGGCAGCUGAGCACAAAUACUCCAGGGGACACAGUGGGCCCAGCACCCCGGCCACAUGUGAUGGAGCCUCCAGGCCUGCCCAGCACCUACUGCCCUGGGACAGGCUCUCUUUCAAGUCAGCUCCUCUGUCCAGGAAGCAUCUGAGAGGCCCUGUGGUCCUGGCCAAGGAGGCAGGCCGUAAGGAGGGCAGGCCCGAGGACGUAGGUGUGGCAACACUCCGUGUGGAGUAGUCUCUGAGGCCAGACCUGCGGUUCCUGUUUCCUGUGCCCUGGGGACCCAGAGAAAGAAGACGGAUGGGCGCUGCAGUGGGGCGGAGCAGGCCUGAGCCCAGCUCGAGGAAAGCUUGCCUUCUCGUCUAGUGUCCCCGUGUUUUACAUAAUUAGUAUUUGUUAAAGGGCGUGGCAAACACUAGUGCCGCACGUGUCACCAAUGGUCACCAGCUCCAGAAGGCAAGUAAGAUGUGAGCAAAUUCCAUGAACACCAGAUGGCUUCAAGGGGCUUCCAGGUAAUUUGAAGGAAAAAAAGUUUAAGGACAGAAGAUGAUGCUGAAAAAAUAAAAUCAGCUCUAAACCACCCCAGCAUGCUGGGAGAGCCUGAUGUGCUCCACGAGGAGCCCCCAAAAGCCGAGGGGAACACAGGACACUUCCCCGAAGGCACAGGGGCCUGGUCCUGCCCCUGGGCCACUCCAGGUGCAUGCAUGGGAGGCGAUGGCUGGGCAGCUGUACAUCCACCUUUAGAGACACUAUCGGGUUUCCAAAGCGGCUGCACCAUUUUACACACCCACCAGCCAGGUGAACUGGACAUCUCUUCUGCUGGUUCCAUCUGGGUUCACCCAUGGGUGGGCCCCACUCUGCAAGAGGGUCCAUAGGGCUGGACCGUCCAGGUUACUGCUGGCAAUGGUCCUGCUGGUGGCUCUGUCCCUGCUUCAUUCAGGUUGCUCUUCUCCAGCCUCCCAUGGUCCCCUCCUCACGGCUCUCCCAGUGCUUCCUCAGCACCUUUCCAGCUUCCACCUGAUGCCUGCUUUGAAAACCAGGUCAAAGUUUCAGGUCUUGGAAGAAACCAUCACACCGAGGUCAUUUCUGAGCACAGCGUGGAAGCUCCUAUGUUUGCAGUUUCACCACCUGGAAGUGGGGAGUCAGCUCCAGCACAGAGCUUUGCGGGAGGACAAAAGAGACGAUGUGGAUAAAGUGCUCCGCAGAUCAUCAGGGGCGGCAAAGGUUAGAGGACGGAGGCUGGAUAACUUUGUGGAAAGUUCCUCUGUGGAACAUUUUUAUCUUGGCCAAGUUGCAGCUUCAGAACCCGGUCUGUGCAAAUGAAACCCCUGAUGUAACUUUUAUGUUAGUGUUUAGUCAUUUUAAUAAUCAAAAACAGAGAAAAUUACCAAAAGUGAAAUUCACAGACAAGAAAUACUUUAAUUAAAUAUUGUGUAAAA